AGGUGUAUCUGUGUGUGAGUGUGUGUGUAUGUGUACAUACAUAUAUAUAUAUAUAUACACACACACACACACACAUAUAGACACACACACACAC
rnacentral:miRNA from 10 species